ACAUCGAACUCACACGAGAACCUGCGAACUGCAAGUGACUCUUUGCGGACUCACUCAUGGCGGAUUACUGCUCGCACACCUUCAACCUGCCCAUACGCGUUUACAUUACCGCUUCAAUUAAGCAUUGCAAUGGCUACAUCCUCAACCCCUGGCCUCCCACAAGAUGAUGAUGGUCUGUGGGAAUUUCUACGCAACAGAGGUGUUCAUGAGGAGAGUAUUCAGAAAAUUAAACAAGAUCAUAUUGACAGCUCGAUAAUUGGAGAAAUAGAUGAUGCUGCUUUGGCCUCUUACAUUCCAGCCUAUGGUGAUAGGAUUGCU